AUGGAGGACGACGCGCGGCUCCGGGUGCUCGCCGUCGUCGGGUUCGGUGGGCUCGGCAAGACCACGCUGGCGAGGAUGGUGUGCGAGAACCCACGGGUGAAGAGCGCUGACUUUCAGUGCUCCCCGUUGCUCAUCGUGUCGCAGACGCUAAACGUCAGGGCGCUGUUCCUGCACAUGCUCAGGGAACUGACCCAGCGGCCGCGCCUGGCUGCCGGCGACGAUACCAUGGAUGAUAGCUUGCACGGGGCGGAGAGCUGGGAAACGGCGCUGCUGGCCAACAAGCUCAAACUUUACCUGCAAGACAAAAGGUACGUACAUCCGCAUCAGUGGACCGAGACCAAGUCACGCACUAUUGGGCAUUAA
rnacentral:rRNA from 1 species